AUGGUUUUCCCAAUCUCUAGAGUCUAGUGGCUAAUUAGGUAGUGCUUAUUGGUAUAAAAUAAAGGUCGCGGCACCUAAAAUUAUUUUAUCCUUCUCGAGCGAAUAUGUCUAGACUUCUUUGUCUGCUUUUCUUCAUUCAAUUAUUUGCUUUCUACAGCUGUGUUCCAUUGAACCAAGAGAGUAAAACAAUGCCACAAUGUACACAAUUACAAGACCCAGUAGGUUGUGGCUCAGACGAUCCAUGUGAAAACCACGUGUGCCCUACGGAUCAAUCGUGCAAUAUUGUAUACCACAUUUGCUAUGCUGGAGCCGUUUGUAGAAAUCGAGGACCAAUUUGUGUGUAAGCCUCCAAGUCUACCUAGUCAAAUAGAGUUGAAUAUGGGUUAACUUUAUCUAACAGCAAGAUAGUUUGAUACCUUACUCUAGUUUAUUUACAAUAUAUAUGCAGAUUAUGAAUG